rnacentral:rRNA from 1 species
CGUAAAGAGCUCGUAGGUGGUUUGUCGCGUCGUUUGUGGAAUACCGCAGCUUAACUGCGGGGUUGCAGGCGAUACGGGCAUAACUUGAGUGCUGUAGGGGAGACUGGAAUUCCUGGUGUAGCGGUGGAAUGCGCAGAUAUCAGGAGGAACACCGAUGGCGAAGGCAGGUCUCUGGGCAGUAACUGACGCUGAGGAGCGAAAGCAUGGGGAGCGAACAGGAUUAGAUACCCUGGUAGUCCAUGCCGUAAACGGUGGGCGCUAGGUGUGAGUCCCUUCCACGGGGUUCGUGCCGUAGCUAACGCAUUAAGCGCCCCGCCUGGGGAGUACGGCCGCAAGGCUAAAACUCAAAGGAAUUGACGGGGGCCCGCACAAGCGGCGGAGCAUGUGGAUUAAUUCGAUGCAACGCGAAGAACCUUACCUGGGCUUGACAUACACUGGAUCGGGCUAGAGAUAGUCUUUCCCUUUGUGGCUGGUGUACAGGUGGUGCAUGGUUGUCGUCAGCUCGUGUCGUGAGAUGUUGGGUUAAGUCCCGCAACGAGCGCAACCCUUGUCUUAUGUUGCCAGCAUUUGGUUGGGGACUCAUGAGAGACUGCCGGGGUGAACUCGGAGGAAGGUGGGGAUGACGUCAAAUCAUCAUGCCCCUUAUGUCCAGGGCUUCACACAUGCUACAAUGGUCGGUACAACGCGUGUGCGAUCCUGUGAGGGUGUGCUAAUCGCUGAAAGCCGGUCGUAGUUCGGAUUGGGGUCUGCAACUCGACCCCAUGAAGUCGG